UGCCCUGCUUGGGUUGCCCUGCCCCUCCCGAGUGCCUGAGCGGCUAGCUACACCGCUGGAGCCAUUAUAAGAGAACAAGGGAGGCAUUCAUGGACUUCAUCCAGUCACGGGAUCUCACCCAAUCACAGUCGUGGUUCGUAUUAUGAACAUGAUGAUGUCCAUGAUGCUAAGCAGCUAAUCACACUGGGCUUGUGCUGAUGUUGCAGCACUGGAUAGCGGCCAUUGCAGUAUUCUAUCACUUAAGAGAGACAGACAUUCCCUACCGAAUUGGCAUGAAAAUGCCUCAAGGAUGAAGUGAGCCUGGAUCACCCAAUGCUGUAGUGAUGGCUUCUUUCAACCUCAUCAGCAACGCAUGUUCAAAAAAAGGAAGACAAGGGCCGGCCCUGCUUAGAGGAACCCCAAAUAGAGGACCAGCUAUGCUGGGGAGGGACUGGCUGAAAAGGAAGUGGAGGAUCAUCAUCAGUGUACAGCAUCCACAGUAACAUGCUGAUCAGCCUUUCAGAUGAUGUACGCUCCACGGCCAGGACGGUGAUAUUGUGCCACAAAAUGUCUUCCCGAUCCAGAGGUCUUGCAGUCAUCAGAGCACCUGUUGCAAUGUCGACAUAAAAGAAGC